GACGAACGCUGGCGGCGUGCCUAAUACAUGCAAGUUGAGCGCUGAAGGUUGGUACUUGUACCGACUGGAUGAGCAGCGAACGGGUGAGUAACGCGUGGGGAAUCUGCCUUUGAGCGGGGGACAACAUUUGGAAACGAAUGCUAAUACCGCAUAAAAACUUUAAACACAAGUGUUAAGUUUGAAAGAUGCAAUUGCAUCACUCAGAGAUGAUCCCGCGUUGUAUUAGCUAGUUGGUGAGGUAAAGGCUCACCAAGGCGAUGAUACAUAGCCGACCUGGGAGGGUGAUCGGCCACAUUGGGACUGAGACACGGCCCAAACUCCUACGGGAGGCAGCAGUAGGGAAUCUUCGGCAAUGGACGAAAGUCUGACCGAGCAACGCCGCGUGAGUGAAGAAGGUUUUCGGAUCGUAAAACUCUGUUGGUAGAGAAGAACGUUGGUGAGAGUGGAAAGCUCAUCAAGUGACGGUAACUACCCAGAAAGGGACGGCUAACUACGUGCCAGCAGCCGCAGUAA
rnacentral:rRNA from 1 species